UACGGAGGAUGCAAGCGUUGUCCGGAAUCAUUGGGCGUAAAGGGUCCUGAGGUGGUUUGCUCAGUCCACUGUGAAAGUUCAGGGCUUACCCUUGAAAAUGCGGUGGAAACUAGUAGGCUAGAGUACGGUGGGGGCAGAGGGAAUUCCCGAUGUAGCGGUGAAAUGCAUAGAUAUCGGGAGGAACACCUGUGGCGAAAGCGGCGCACUGGACCACUACUGACGCUGAGGCGCGAAAGCUAGGGGAGCAAACAGG
rnacentral:rRNA from 1 species